rnacentral:rRNA from 1 species
CUACGGGGGGCAGCAGUGGGGAAUAUUGCACAAUGGGCGCAAGCCUGAUGCAGCCAUGCCGCGUGUAUGAAGAAGGCCUUCGGGUUGUAAAGUACUUUCAGCGGGGAGGAAGGGAGUAAAGUUAAUACCUUUGCUCAUUGACGUUACCCGCAGAAGAAGCACCGGCUAACUCCGUGCCAGCAGCCGCGGUAAUACGGAGGGUGCAAGCGUUAAUCGGAAUUACUGGGCGUAAAGCGCACGCAGGCGGUUUGUUAAGUCAGAUGUGAAAUCCCCGGGCUCAACCUGGGAACUGCAUCUGAUACUGGCAAGCUUGAGUGUCGUAGAGGGGGGUAGAAUUCCAGGUGUAGCGGUGAGAUGCGUAGAGAUCUGGAGGAAUACCGGUGGCGAAGGCGGCCCCCUGGACGAAGACUGACGCUCAGGUGCGAAAGCGUGGGGAGCAAACAGGAUUAGAUACCCUUGUAGUC